AGCAGCCGCGGUAAUUCCAGCUCCAAUAGCGUAUAUUAAAGUUGUUGCAGUUAAAAAGCUCGUAGUUGAAUUUCGGGACUGACAGGUUGGUCGCGCCUUCGGUGUGUACUGGCCUAGUCGGUUUCUCCCUUCUGACGAACCACGAUGUCAUUAAUUUGGUGUCGUGGGGAAUCAGGACUGUUACUUUGAAAAAAUUAGAGUGUUUAAAGCAGGCUUAGGCUUGAAUACAUUAGCAUGGAAUAAUGAAAUAGGACGUUUGAUCCUAUUUUGUUGGUUUCUAGGAUCGACGUAAUGAUUAAUAGGGAUAGUUGGGGGCAUUAGUAUUCAAUUGUCAGAGGUGAAAUUCUUGGAUUUAUUGAAGACUAACUACUGCGAAAGCAUUUGCCAAGGAUGUUUUCAUUAAUCAAGAACGAAAGUUAGGGGAUCGAAGACGAUCAGAUACCGUCGUAGUCUUAACCAUAAACUAUGCCGACUAGGGAUCGGAUGAUGUUAAUUUUAUGAUGACUCA
rnacentral:rRNA from 1 species